GGGGAAUAUUGCACAAUGGGGGAAACCCUGAUGCAGCGACGCCGCGUGGAGGAAGAAGGUCUUCGGAUUGUAAACUCCUGUUGUUGAGGAAGAUAAUGACGGUACUCAACAAGGAAGUGACGGCUAACUACGUGCCAGCAGCCGCGGUAAAACGUAGGUCACAAGCGUUGUCCGGAAUUACUGGGUGUAAAGGGAGCGCAGGCGGGAAGACAAGUCAGAAGUGAAAUCUAUGGGCUCAACCCAUAAACUGCCUUCAAAACUGUUUUUCUUGAGUAGUGCAGAGGUAGGCGGAAUUCCCGGUGUAGCGGUGGAAUGCGUAGAUAUCGGGAGGAACACCAGUGGCGAAGGCGGCCUACUGGGCACCAACUGACGCUGAGGCUCGAAAGUGUGGGUAGCAAACAGGAUUAGAUACCCUGGUAGUCCACACCGUAAACGAUGAUUACUAGGUGUUGGAGGAUUGACCCCUUCAGUGCCGCAGUUAACACAAUAAGUAAUCCACCUGGGGAGUACGACCGCAAGGUUGAAACUCAAAGGAAUUGACGGGGGCCCGCACAAGCAGUGGAGUAUGUGGUUUAAUUCGACGCAACGCGAAGAACCUUACCAAGUCUUGACAUCCCUUGACGAACAUAGAAAUAUGUUUUCUCUUCGGAGCAAGGAGACAGGUGGUGCAUGGUUGUCGUCAGCUCGUGUCGUGAGAUGUUGGGUUAAGUCCCGCAACGAGCGCAACCCUUAUGGUCAGUUACUACGCAAGAGGACUCUGGCCAGACUGACGUUGACAAAACGGAGGAAGGUGGGGAUGACGUCAAAUCAUCAUGCCCUUUAUGACUUGGGCUACACACGUACUACAAUGGCGUUAAACAAAGAGAAGCAAGACCGCGAGGUGGAGCAAAACUCAGAAACGACGUCCCAGUUCGGACUGCAGGCUGCAACUCGCCUGCACGAAGUCGGAAUUGCUAGUAAUCGUGGAUCAGCAUGCCACGGUGAAUACGUUCCCG
rnacentral:rRNA from 1 species